UACGUAGGGUGCAAGCGUUGUCCGGAAUUAUUGGGCGUAAAGAGCUCGUAGGCGGUUUGUCGCGUCUGCUGUGAAAACUCGGGGCUUAACUCCGGGCCUGCAGUGGGUACGGGCAGACUAGAGUGCGGUAGGGGAGACUGGAAUUCCUGGUGUAGCGGUGAAAUGCGCAGAUAUCAGGAGGAACACCGGUGGCGAAGGCGGCUCUCUGGACCGAGACUGACGCUGAGGCGCGAAAGCGUGGGGAGCAAACAGG
rnacentral:rRNA from 1 species